AGAGUUAAACAGUACGUGAAAUUGUUGAAAGGGAAACGAUUGAAGUCAGUCAUACCAACGGGAAAUCAACCUUUUGAGGGGUGGAAUUGUGGGAUUCAAAGUGCCUUUGUUUUUCACAACCUGCUUUUUUUGGGUGCAAUUUCUCGUAUUGUAGGUCAGCAUCGGUUUCGAUCGUUAUAAAAUGACUGGAGGAAUGUAGCUUCGAUCUCGUAUUGAAGUGUUAUAGCCUUUGGUAAAUGUAACGGAUGGGAUCGAGGAUUGCAAUGAAUACCCUCAUGGGCUAUCCGUCUGGCCUCUGACAUGUCACUCUGGUGCUGAAAGCUUGCUUAUGGUAUUAUAGUGUACGGUCAAAAGGUUAGAACGGAUUAAAUUCGUUAAGGAUGUUGACGUAAUGGCUUUAAACGACC
rnacentral:sRNA from 1 species